rnacentral:sRNA from 1 species
UGCCAAAUAGAUGUUAACAGAUGUCGCUAC